AUGCUGACGCUGCUGCACAUCCCUCCACUUCCGAUCAAUCCUCCUUCCUCUCCUCCUCCCCGCCGGCGCCGCUGCCCACCUCCCAUGGCCGCCUUCGCCUCCGCCCCCCAGCAAUCCAAGCCCCUCGUGCUCGGCUGCGGCGCCGUCUCCGUGGACUACCUCGCCACCGUCGCCUCUUUCCCCAACCCCGACGACAAGAUCCGCAGCCUCGCGCUCAAGGUCGAGGGAGGUGGCAACGCCGGCAACGCCCUCACCGGAGCCGCUCGCCUGGGCCUCAGCCCAAGGAUUAUAUCCAAGGCGUCCAAUGAUGCACUGGGAAAAAACAUUCUCAAGGAGCUGCAAGACGACGGAGUAGACACUUCCUAUAUGACGAUAGCAGAUGGGGGGAAUUCACCGUUCACCUAUAUAAUCGUCGAUAACCAGACGAAAACUCGUACUUGCAUACACACUCCUGGUUAUCCCCCAAUGAAGCCUGAGGAGCUCACAAAGGAAAACUUGUUGGCUGCUUUACAUGGCGUAGACAUGGUGUAUUUUGAUGUUAGACUGCAUGAGACUGCUUUGCUUGUUGCAGAAGAGGCAAGCCAAAGAAAAAUUCCUAUUUUGGUCGACGCAGAGAAAAAGCGGGAGGGAUUGGAUGACCUUCUGAAUUUUGCAUCAUAUGUUGUAUGCUCUGCAAAAUUUCCUCAGGCCUGGACAGGAGCCUCAUCGACACCAGUUGCUUUGGUACACAUGCUUCUAAGGUUACCUAAUCUCAAGUUCGUUAUUGUAACCCGGGGAGAAAAAGGUUGCUUAAUGCUUGAAAGAAGUAUGACAGAUGCUUCUGAGACUGAGGAAACCGAUGUAGAGGAUCUGCUAGAAUCUUUAGAGCAGAAAGUCGAUUUGAGUUCUAGCAUGGCAAAAUGCGUUGCUUCCAAGUCAAAUUUGAGAAUAAGUGCAGAUGGCGUUGGCUCGAUGAGUGGCAGGUUACUUUUGGGUACAGCUGAAGCUAUACCCUCUGAAGAGCUCAUAGAUACAACUGGUGCAGGUGAUGCAUUCAUUGGAGCCGUUCUAUAUGGUUUAUGCACCGGCAUGCCAGUUGAGAAGAUGCUACCUUUCGCAGCACAAGUGGCUGCUUGCGGCUGCAGAGCUUUGGGGGCCAGGACUGGUCUUCCUCAUCUAACGGACCCGCGCCUGUCUCUCUAG
rnacentral:rRNA from 1 species